GACGAACGCUGGCGGCGUGCUUAACACAUGCAAGUCGAACGAAGAAGCCGGAGCUUGCUCUGGUGAAUUAGUGGCGAACGGGUGAGUAACACGUGAGUAACCUGCCCUUGACUCUGGGAUAACUGCGGGAAACUGUAGCUAAUACCGGAUACGACCCUCGGAGGCAUCUCCUGGGGGUGGAAAGAAUUUCGGUCAAGGAUGGACUCGCGGCCUAUCAGCUAGUUGGUGAGGUAAAGGCUCACCAAGGCGACGACGGGUAGCCGGCCUGAGAGGGUGACCGGCCACACUGGGACUGAGACACGGCCCAGACUCCUACGGGAGGCAGCAGUGGGGAAUAUUGCACAAUGGGCGCAAGCCUGAUGCAGCAACGCCGCGUGAGGGAUGACAGCCUUCGGGUUGUAAACCCCUUUUAGCAGGGAAGAAGCGAAAGUGACGGUACCUGCAGAAAAAGCACCGGCUAACUACGUGCCAGCCGCCGCAGUAA
rnacentral:rRNA from 1 species